rnacentral:rRNA from 1 species
GACGAACGCUGGCGGCGUGCUUAACACAUGCAAGUCGAACGGGAUUUCGUAAACAGACGCCUCGGUGGAAGAUUACUAAUGAGAGUGGCGAACGGGUGAGUAACGCGUGAGCAACCUGCCUAUGACAGUGGGAUAGCCUCGGGAAACCGGGAUUAAUACCGCAUAAAAUCGUAGAAACACAUGUUUUAACGGUCAAAGAUUUAUCGGUCAUAGAUGGGCUCGCGUCUGAUUAGCUAGUUGGUGAGAUAACAGCCCACCAAGGCGACGAUCAGUAGCCGGUCUGAGAGGAUGAACGGCCACAUUGGAACUGAGACACGGUCCAAACUCCUACGGGAGGCAGCAGUGGGGAAUAUUGCACAAUGGGGGAAACCCUGAUGCAGCGACGCCGCGUGAACGAAGAAGGUAUUCGUAUCGUAAAGUUCUGUCCUAUGGGAAGAUAAUGACAGUACCAUAGAAGAAAGCUCCGGCUAAAUACGUG